UGGCGGCUUUUCUUUAUGUGCUGCUGAGCUGCAGAACUACCAAACAACCAUAGCAAAUCUUAAUUAUUAAAGAAUAAUUAAUAUAGUUUUAUUUCAAAUCUGCCAUAUUAUCAUAUUAAACAUCAACUGUUAAUAAUAAUUCACCAACAACGAUGAUUAAUAUUAUUUUUUUUACGUAUUUACUCCUCUAGUGAAACCGUAUAAUUUUUUUACGUAUUUGGUGCUCCAGUGAAGCAAUCUUUUUACGUAUUUGCUGCUCCAGUGAAGCCGCGUCGAUAACAACCGAAACACUGGCAGCGGUAAAAUGCAUUUAUUAGGCAAACGGCGAUCUUAGCCGAUGUGCUUCGGCAAUCGGCUGAUUAACGGCCUCGGAAAUGUGUUUGCGAGCUGCAAUUCACGACAGUUAUUCGUGACCGUUGCAUCUGUGCCGUGUUUAGAAAUUCUUAGGUAACGAUAAAGUAAUCGAAAAGUUUGCGACAAAAAAGGACCGGCGUAUUAAUUUCCAAUUUAGAAAAAUGCAAUAAAUGUAAGUUAAUCAGAUUUUUAUAGCAUGUCGUUAUUAGUUACUAUUAAUUAGUAUUAAAGCUAAUUUUAUUGUU
rnacentral:lncRNA from 1 species